GAAGAAUAUAGGGAUGGGUCAUAUACUAUUCUCUUCGUAUGAAUGUCUUCUACAACAUAUCCAAAAUUCAAAGAAAAUGAAGAAACAAGCAAGGAGACGUGGCCGAAACAUUGGACAACAUAUGUGAAGAGAAUUGGAUUAAAUUUUAUCAGAAAACAAGAUGGAAAUGCAUGUGAGGUAACCCACUGUAAAAGUUUCAUGAAGUUUUGAUCAUUUUAGGUACCCCAAAGUAUGGGAGAAUCAGAACUGAAAUUCCUGAAAAAUGGUUCAUGUUACUAUUUCAAUGGGUUGUUGUUGGAGCACUUAGACUCUGAGUCUGCCCUUGGAGUCUUCUAAGAAGUUGUAGGUAUACUUCUCUAGUUUCCAACGAGAUAUCAGUCACUUAUUUCAUCGAGUAACGAAUCUUGUAGGAAUUUUUGAACACACCUGGUCCGAAAUGGAAUUUCUGAAGUAGGUUAUAUGCUUUCUUGGAGCUAUACUUCUGUGUUCUCGAAUCAUUAUGAGUCUGAACUAGAUUUGGGUGUCUUGUAAUGGAAUGUAUCCCUGGGAAUAAUGUUUCCGAAUUGAUAUUAGGCGCUACAUUUUGAAUUAUAAAUUGUGAAUUAUGCCCUUUCUAAGCACUAUUGUUUUGCGCUCCUUGUAAUCCUGUGUAGUCAUGUUCAUCAUACCUUAACUCAUUAGGUGGUUGUCAUCAAGCUGAGAUUUCUAUAUAUGAUCAUACAUUUUAGUUGUAAAGUGAGGGAUACAUUUCAGGUGAAUUUAGUCACAUUUGCUAAGCUGGAUAGUGGUAUUGGUGUACCUUAUUAUCUAGUCUUAUUAAUGAAUUUACUGUUAUCACAUUGCAAUGAGGUUAGAGUUCGAUUUGCUUAAGCACUUC